rnacentral:tRNA from 1 species
GCCUUCGUGGUGUAAUGGUCAGCACGCUCGACGCGUAUUCGAGAGGUUAGUGGUUCGAGUCCCGGCGAGGGCA